AACUAUGAUCCCAGACUGAGAGCAGAGGUGAUAGUCCUGGAGAAGACACAAUGCCCACAGCUGUUAGAUAGAUGUCCCUGAAAACUCUUUUGACUGUUUAUCACAGGAAACCUUGCUGUGGUCAGCAUUUGUUGUGACUUUUGGUGGAGCAGCUGUUGUGUUGCUGAGUUCAUUGAAUUGAAGGUGUGCUGCCCAUGGGUGAACAAUGUGAUUUCUACCUCCCCUACCUCUGCCACUGAGCACACGGGAUCUUCCUAUCUUCACAUAAAGGAUGACAAACCAAGGGGGUCUCAGUGCCCUGAGUUGGAGGACCAUGACUGCAAGAAUAAUCAACUCCCAGUUGACCUGAAUUUGUGCAGGACCUGCUACUCCAGCUGGAUUCCUACAAAUCCAUGGGGCCUGAUGGGAUUCAUCCCAGAAUCUCCAGAGAGCUGGCUGAUGUUAUCACAAAGCCUCUCUCAAUUUUUGAGUUGUCUUGGGAAUCUGGAGAGUUCUCAGUUGACUGGAAGCUGGCAAAUGCUGUACCAAUUUUCAAUAAGGGCA